UAAAAGUUAAAGGUAAGAUGGUGUUGCUUAAAUUGCAAAUCUUAUUUCAAGAAAGUACCAUUUGUUAAGUCAUUUUGAUAUUAAUUAUAAACUGAAUUCACAUUUUAUACAUUGUCCAGAAUUCAUACUUUCCUCGAAGGUAACUAUCAGUAUUCAUUACAGCCAUGCUGUUUACUAUUACUGUUCUGGACCAAUUCGUCUCUUAAAUGUUUUGGCUUCAUUUUGGGUUUAAACUUUAGGACUUGGGUAUAAAAUGGUUUAAAUGAUACAGUUUAAAAUCCCUACUUAGAGUAAGACAUUUCCCCCAC
rnacentral:lncRNA from 1 species